AUUGAACGCUGGCGGCAUGCCUUACACAUGCAAGUCGAACGGCAGCACGGGAGCAAUCCUGGUGGCGAGUGGCGAACGGGUGAGUAAAGUAUCGGAACGUGCCCAGUCGUGGGGGAUAACGUAGCGAAAGUUACGCUAAUACCGCAUACGAUCUAUGGAUGAAAGCGGGGGAUCGCAAGACCUCGCGCGAUUGGAGCGGCCGAUAUCAGAUUAGGUAGUUGGUGGGGUAAAGGCUCACCAAGCCGACGAUCUGUAGCUGGUCUGAGAGGACGACCAGCAACACUGGGACUGAGACACGACCCAGACUCCUACGGGAGGCAGCAGUGGGGAAUUUUGGACAAUGGGCGCAAGCCUGAUCCAGCCAUGCCGCGUGCAGGAUGAAGGCCUUCGGGUUGUAAACUGCUUUUGUACGGAACGAAAAGGUUUGACUUAAUACGUUGGACUCAUGACGGUACCGUAAGAAUAAGCACCGGCUAACUACGUGCCAGCCGCCGCAGUAAUAC
rnacentral:rRNA from 1 species